rnacentral:rRNA from 1 species
CGGGGUCUUUUUGGAGCUUGCUUUGGAAAGAUCUAGUGGCGGACGGGUGAGUAACACGUGAGCAACCUGCCUUUCAGAGGGGGAUAACGUUUGGAAACGAACGCUAAUACCGCAUAACGCAGAGAGACGGCAUCGUCUUUCUGGCAAAGGAGUAAUCCGCUGAAAGAUGGGCUCGCGCCCGAUUAGAUAGUUGGUGAGGUAAUGGCUCACCAAGUCGACGAUCGGUAGCCGGACUGAGAGGUUGAACGGCCACAUUGGGACUGAGACACGGCCCAGACUCCUACGGGAGGCAGCAGUGGGGAAUAUUGCACAAUGGGGGAAACCCUGAUGCAGCGACGCCGCGUGAGUGAAGACGGUCUUCGGAUUGUAAGGCUCUGUCUUCGGGGACGAUAAUGACGGUACCCGAGAAGGAAGCCACGGCUAACUACGUGCCAGCAGCCGCGGUAAUACGUAGGUGGCGAGCGUUGUCCGGAAUUACUGGGUGUAAAGGGAGCGUAGGCGGGAAGCCAAGUUGGAUGUGAAAUACCGCAGCUUAACUGCGGGGCUGCAUCCAAAACUGGUUUUCUUGAGUGAAGUAGAGGCAGGCGGAAUUCCUAGUGUAGCGGUGAAAUGCGUAGAUAUUA